rnacentral:rRNA from 1 species
GACGAACGCUGGCGGCGUGCCUAAUACAUGCAAGUCGAGCGAAGUUUUUCUGGUGCUUGCACUAGAAAAACUUAGCGGCGAACGGGUGAGUAACACGUAAAGAACCUGCCUCAUAGACUGGGACAACUAUUGGAAACGAUAGCUAAUACCGGAUAACAGCAUUAACUGCAUGGUUGAUGUUUAAAAGUUGGUUUUGGUAACACUAUGAGAUGGCUUUGCGGUGCAUUAGCUAGUUGGUGGGGUAAAGGCCUACCAAGGCGACGAUGCAUAGCCGACCUGAGAGGGUGAUCGGCCACACUGGGACUGAGACACGGCCCAGACUCCUACGGGAGGCAGCAGUAGGGAAUCUUCCGCAAUGGGCGAAAGCCUGACGGAGCAACGCCGCGUGAGUGAAGAAGGAUUUCGGUUCGUAAAGCUCUGUUGUUAGGGAAGAAUGAUUGUGUAGUAACUAUACACAGUAGAGACGGUACCUAACCAGAAAGCCACGGCUAACUACGUG